rnacentral:tRNA from 1 species
CACCGAGGGCGGCUGGGUCGCGGUCGCCUUCGACGCGGUCCCCGGACGCGCGCCGCGGACGCCGCUGAUCGGCCCCGAGCUCGGCGCC